GAUCGUAGCGUUGUUCGGAAUUAUUGGGUGUAAAGCGGAUGUAGGUGGCUUUGUAAGUCAGAUGUGAAAAACCAGGGCUCAACCCUGGAAGUUCAUUAGAUAAUGGGAAGCUUGAGUGUCGGAGAGGUUACUAGAAUUGUUGGUGUAGUGGUGAAAUACGUAGAUAUCAACAGGAAUACCGGAGGCGAAGGCGGGUAACUGGCCGAACACUGACACUGAGAUCCGAAAGCGUGGGGUGCAAACAGGAGUAGACCCCGUGGUAGUCCAUGCCCUGGUAAAUCGAGGGAUGCUUCACGCGUGUCCCCCCCGGGCAACGAGGUUCCUUAACUCAUCUCGCCUC
rnacentral:rRNA from 1 species